rnacentral:tRNA from 1 species
GGGGAUAUAGUUCAGUUGGUAGAACGACUGCCUCACAUGCACAAGGCCCUGGGUUCAAUACCCAGCACCA